GAUGAAGAACGCAGCGAAAUGCGAUAAGUAGUGUGAAUUGCAGAAUUCAGUGAAUCAUCGAAUCUUUGAACGCACAUUGCGCCCUUUGGUAUUCCUUAGGGCAUGCCUGUUCGAGCGUCAUUUAAACCUUCAAGCUCAGCUUGGUGAUGGGUGACUGUCCUCCCCUCGCGGGGGGACUCGCCUCAAAAACAUUGGCGGCCGGUACAUUGGCUUCGAGCGCAGCAGAAACGCGGUCUCGAGUCCGGUGGAUCGGCUCCCAUAAGUCUAUUCUUUUAUUUUGACCUCGGAUCAGGUAGGGAUACCCACUGAACUUAAGCAUAUCAAUAAGCGGAGGA
rnacentral:misc_RNA from 1 species